UGGGAGCCUCCGUUGGCAAAGCUGCCUCAUUGAGCAAGAGGGCCCUGACGAGAAUUCCAUGAGUGAAUUCCCGCAGGGAGCAAAGGGCAGAGGGAGUGUGUCCCUGCCUGGCUGGCACCUCCUGGGGAUUUUGGGCAGCAAAGGGACCACAGCGAGGACGAAGAGGAGGAGGAAGGUGCCUGGGAAUUCCUUCAGCUUCCUGGGCUUGUUCCCGGGCCAUGGCGGCCACCACGGUGACCGACGUCGGCAGCGUGAGGAUCAUCACGGAGGUGAUCCCGGCCACGGAUCCCCGGGCAGCCCAGCUGGCCUCAGGCUCCCAAGCACCUGCCAGGACCUCAUUCCAAACACAAGGCUUCCAGAGGGCUCAUCCCAAGGUGUUGGGGACCAUCCACAUCUUCACUGGAAUUGUCCACAUCUGCUUCGGGAUCAUCCUGACGCUGUCGGAGCACGGGAACCCUUCCCUCCCUGUGGCCAGCGGGAUCCUCUUCUGGCUGGGGAUCCUGCUCCUGGUCUCGGGCUUGUUGCUGGUGGAAAGUGAAAGGAGAGACAGCCCCAUGCUGGUCAAGGCCUGCUGUGUGGUCAGUGUGGGCGUUGUCCUGGGCACGCUGGUGGCCACCGGGAUCCACGGCACGGCCAUCACCCGGAUCGUGCCCGGCUGCGGGAAGCCCGAGCCCUUCCAGACCCGCCCGGAAUGGUGCUUCCACAUGGAGAGCAAGAUGCUGAGCAACGGCCUGGAUUCCGUCUUGGUGCUGCUCGGCCUCCUGGAAUUCUGCGUGGCCGUGGCGGUUCUGGCGUUUGGAUACGACGUGGUCGGGCAGCACACAUACACCCAGCUGGCGCUGUAGCCACGGCCCAGCCCCGCAUGUGGUGCCGCAUCCCGGGGGGGUCCCCGCUAC
rnacentral:lncRNA from 1 species